UAACAUGUAUCUGCUUUUCAGUAGGUUAUCUCAUAAGAACUUCAAAAUUAAGCGUGCUUGACUUGGAGUAAUAUAUGGAUAGGUGACCUUCUGGGAAGUUUCCAAAAAUUGUGUAAU
rfam:Cajanus cajan Scaffold130390_13, whole genome shotgun sequence.